rnacentral:rRNA from 1 species
CAUAGGUUAAUGAGGCGAACCGGGGGAACUGAAACAUCUAAGUACCCCGAGGAAAAGAAAUCAACCGAGAUUCCCCCAGUAGCGGCGAGCGAACGGGGAGCAGCCCAGAGCCUGAAUCAGUGUGUGUGUUAGUGGAAGCGUCUGGAAAGGCGCGCGAUACAGGGUGACAGCCCCGUACACAAAAAUGCACAUGCUGUGAGCUCGAUGAGUAGGGCGGGACACGUGGUAUCCUGUCUGAAUAUGGGGGGACCAUCCUCCAAGGCUAAAUACUCCUGACUGACCGAUAGUGAACCAGUACCGUGAGGGAAAGGCGAAAAGAACCCCGGCGAGGGGAGUGAAAAAGAACCUGAAACCGUGUACGUACAAGCAGUGGGAGCACAGAGCAAUCUGUGUGACUGCGUACCUUUUGUAUAAUGGGUCAGCGACUUAUAUUCUGUAGCAAGGUUAACCGAAUAGGGGAGCCGAAGGGAAACCGAGUCUUAACUGGGCGUUAAGUUGCAGGGUAUAGACCCGAAACCCGGUGAUCUAGCCAUGGGCAGGUUGAAGGUUGGGUAACACUAACUGGAGGACCGAACCGACUAAUGUUGAAAAAUUAGCGGAUGACUUGUGGCUGGGGGUGAAAGGCCAAUCAAACCGGGAGAUAGCUGGUUCUCCCCGAAAGCUAUUUAGGUAGCGCCUCGUGAAUUCAUCUCCGGGGGUAGAGCACUGUUUCGGCAAGGGGGUCAUCCCGACUUACCAACCCGAUGCAAACUACGAAUACCGGAGAAUGUUAUCACGGGAGACACACGGCGGGUGCUAACGUCCGUCGUGAAGAGGGAAACAACCCAGACCGCCAGCUAAGGUCCCAAAGUCAUGGUUAAGUGGGAAACGAUGUGGGAAGGCCCAGACAGCCAGGAUGUUGGCUUAGAAGCAGCCAUCAUUUAAAGAAAGCGUAAUAGCUCACUGGUCGAGUCGGCCUGCGCGGAAGAUGUAACGGGGCUAAACCAUGCACCGAAGCUGCGG